UAAUACCGGAUGCGACGCGAGGAGCCUCGGCGCUUCGCGGGAAAGAUUCGACAAGGAUCACUGAAGGACGAGCCUGCGGCCCAUCAGCUAGUUGGUGAGGUAAGAGCUCACCAAGGCGAAGACGGGUAGCUGGUCUGAGAGGAUGGAUCAGCCACACUGGAACUGAGACACGGUCCAGACUCCUACGGGAGGCAGCAGUGGGGAAUAUUGCGCAAUGGGCGAAAGCCUGACGCAGCCACGCCGCGUGAGCGAUGAAGGCCUUCGGGUCGUAAAGCUCUGUGGGGAGAGAAGAAUAAAGCCUGUGAAGAAUGGGCCUUGACGGUAUCUCCUUAGCAAGCACCGGCUAACUCCGUG
rnacentral:rRNA from 1 species